GUUAAGUGACCCUACUUCUGCUCUUCUGCAUCAUAAGUUUUUUUCUCACUGUAUGUGUGUGUUUAUAAUCACCCUCAUUCUAAACAAGGUUUGAGGCUACGUUUUAUGUUAAAUUAUUAGUUUUCAGUUUUGUGUCUUUAUCUGGACUCUGAGCUCCUGCCUAACAAGAUCCUUGGAUUAUUCAUCUGUAUCCCCAGCAUCUAAUACAGUAAAUUUUCAGUAAAUACUUGUUGAAUGAACUCAGGAGGGAACAAAUGACUGCUUUUGUUUUUUUUCAGCUAUUACGUAGGUUUUUUUUUUUCUUUUCAAGUUUCCUGGGAUUUUAAUUGACCGCAGCAUAUUAAUUUCAAAAAAGAAAGGAAAAUAGUUAUAUAGCUUCAAGUCUCUACACUCAGAUGCCCUCAAUUCAGUACUGUAGUAUGCUCUAAUAUUAAUUUAGCCACUACUAAUUGUCUAACUCAACCAGAAAGGAGAAACAGACAGGUUGUACACACUUGAGUUGAGAAACUUUAACAUUUAUUCUGAAGCAAGGUAACGUUUUCCCCAAACAAGAACCCAUGUAUAAGAAACGUAUACAGGAUUGAAGCUCACAUGCCUAGCCCUUCUGACUUAGAAGGUAGAAUUAUUUAUCACACUUAAAAUGUUAAAAAUAAGAAUUCAGUAGCUCUGUAUGAGAGAGAAACACUUUUCUUCCUCAUGUGGUCGUGAGAAUGCCAGAUUGCUGGCCCAUUAUUUUGGCAGAUGUCUCUUGGAAUUAUUUGACAGCUCUUUGACAAGGCAGUGCCUCCUACGUGCAGUUCCUGAGCAAACUGGCUUCAGUCUCCCUUUGUGAAUUCCGAGGCAGAGAGAUCUGAGGCAGCCAUGUCAUUUUGGAUUACUCUCCUCCAGCUUUGUCAGCUCUCUUCAGACACGCUGCAAGAUCAGCCCCAAGUUUGAAAAAGUGAAGGAAGUGAUUUACUAAAUUUCCAAAAGAGAAAGAAUGUUCGUAAGCUUUCCUCAUGGGAGCAUCGGGAAAUCCAGAUAUCUUGUCAAAGACAAAUGACCUGGAAGGAAUGUACCUGACUACUGCGGGCAAAAUUUUGUGCCCAGAGAGUACGCAGGCCUCUCACCACUGGGGCCUCUCCCACCGUGGAGCACAGGCUCUGGAUGCGCAGGCCCAGCAGCCACGGCCCACGGACCCAGCUACUCCACGGCAUGCGGGAUCCUCCUGGACCGGGGCAUGAACCCAUGUCCCCUGCAUCACCAGGCGGACUCUCAACAACUGUGCCACCAGGGAAGCCCUACAUAGUUUUAUUUUAGUAUGUCAUUUUCUCCUACAUUAUCAAAUUUGUUAUCUAAUUUUGCAUGUGAUGUUUUCUUAUUAUUAUCUUAAUUUUUCUUACAUGUACAGUUUUUUUCUUUGCUCAUUCUUAAUCUUAUGUUUUUGAUCUCUUUUUUCUUAAUCAUGCUCACAGCAGUUUUUCUAUUUUAUUUCUUUUCAAAGAGUGUUGUAGUAUAUUAUUUCUACUAUGUUUUUGUUUUCCUUUCCAUUAAUUUUGUCUUACCAUUAUCUCUUCUCUCCAGAUUUUUUUUGAUUUAUCUUAUUGUUCUUUUUAUUAACUUCUUAAAAUGAGUACUAAUUUCCUUAUAUUUUGCCUUUAUUCUUUAUAUUUUAAGCUAUACAUUUCCUCUGAAUAUAGCUUUUGCUGUAUUUGUUUCUAUAUAUUUUGUAAUUUGUUUCUAUAUAUUUUGUAAUUUCAUGAAUAUUCAAGGAUGUUAAUCUUUUUAGAAAUACAUUUAUGUGUUUUGAUUUAUUAUCAAAGAAUAAGACCUAUAAAAUCUCUACUUUUUAAAUAUAAAGCUUUCUUUUCAACCAAAUACAUUAUAUUCUUUUUAAAUUGACGUAAGAAAAGCGGGUAGUAUAUAUGUUGUGGACAAAGAAUGUUGCCUACCACAUCAAUAAACAAAGGAUGUUGCAGCCAUCAAGCCAUCAGCCAUUUCAGCUGCCCAGAAUGAUACACCCUGAGGGUUCAGGAUGGACAAAACAGGAUACUGGCCCUAGAUAGUCAAGGUGCAUAUCAAAGGAAUAAUUUUAAUGAUCCCAGACUCUUGCAUCUUCCCAUACAUAGAAAAGCACUAAAUCCAUUAACUGAGAGGUCUGAUUUUCUUUAAUUAACACUAAUCUUUGGAUGUUCCAACUGCCUGGGUUUUUUUUUUUUUCAAAAACUCCUAUAUAUCCUGGCUCUCCCCUUACCUCUUCAGAACAGUCCCUCACAGUUAUCUGAGAGACUAUCUCCCAGGCUUAAGUCUUUAGUAUGUCCACUGAAUAAAACAUAAUUCUCAACUUUAAGAUUCUGCAAUUUUUUUAGUUGACAAUGGGCAUGUGUUUAUGUAUGCACGCGCAUACACACGCACAUUAUAGUUUAUCAAUGCUUACUUUUUCAAUUUCCUUACCUGUUUUGACCUUUAACCCUAAUAAUUUUACCAAAUUUAUACUAUAACUUGAUUUUUAUCAAUAUCUCUUUACAUUUCUAAUAUAUUUUCCUUACAUUUCUAAAAUAUUUUCUUUUGCUACUAAAUGCAUACUGGGUUAUGAUUGUUGCAUAAAUAGGAAUUGUGCCUAUUAUAAUUUAAAACCAUCUCUAUUUAUACUGCUUAGUGCUUUUAAUCUUAUAUCUAAGCUUUUCUAAUGGAAUAUUGACAUUCUUGCCUUUUCUAAUAUUUACAUUUGCCUUGUAGCUCUUCAUUAAUCCUAUUAUUUUCAGCCAUUCUUUAUCACUUGGUCUUAUAGGGGAGCAAAAUUUGCCACCCCAAAUCAUGUCUCUUUGGCAUAUUGAUUAUUUUAGGCUGAUUAUUUUUAAGAAACUGCAGACACAGGAGAAGUUUGAAAACUGAGUAGACGUUACCUGUAAGAGAAAUUUACACGUAUAAGGGAAAUCUUUAUUUGUAGGGUUUCUCCCUGCUGUACUGGGAAGAGGGGGAUGACUUUAUCUCUAGAAACUAUUAUCAGUGGAGAAGGCAAUGACUUAAAUUUGCUUAACAACCUUACCCUUGGUUUACUGUGCUUUUCUCUGUAACUGACUACCAAUCCCCAACAUCUUCUUUUGAUGUUAGCUAAAGAUAGUAUUUAAGGUGAAUGCUUCUAUUUUAUUGGAGAGUUACUCAGUUUUCCCUGGUUUCUCCCAUGUAUGUGUUAGGGGAAUCACUGACCAAAAUCGUCAGCCCUGGCCAGGCACAAUAGUAACCACUUACAUGAGUUAUCUUACAACAGGAGGUCCUGGUAAGGAACACGGAACUAACAAGCUACCACCAAACAGAAGAAUUUGUAAAAGGUCAAAAGGAGAGAGGAGACGCCGGUCCAUAUGUCCUACCAACCUCCAGAAUCCUUCUUGUUGGAAUCCAUCUUGGCUGAGUGGCUGCACGUACCACCAGGAAGGACCCUGAGUCAGAAUGGUUGGCCAGAGACAACCCGGAAUCUAACCGCAUCACCAUUAAACCCGAGACUGCAAGCCACGUGGCAGAGCAGUCUUCCUGGGUUCCCUAACCCUGCUGCUCUCCACCUGGGCACCCCUUCCCAAUAAAGUCUCUUGCUUUGUCAUUUCUGAGUGUUAGACAGAGCCCACUCUCAGGCCCUGGAAGGGAUCCCCCUUCCUGCAACAUAAGCAUGUUAUUAAACUUUUGUUUAUCUUUCUUCUAUUAAUCUGUUUUGAGUCAGUUUAAUUAUUAAGCCAGUCAAAGAACUAGAAGGGGAGAAGAAGAUGUUUCCUCCCCUACAGUCUGAACCGAGUUUCUUGUGAACAGCACAUAGGCCGAUUUUGUUUUUUAACCUAAUAUGACAGCCUCUGUCUUUUUAUGGAAGAAUUUAGUCAGAGAAUUCAGUUUUCAAGAUGAACCAGAGCACAGAAGGGACACUGCCUUUGCAUAUUUAAGUAGACUGUGUUCCAAAGAUAUGGAAAUUGUUGAGGCUGGAGAACUAAAUACCUUCUUAUAUAAAAAGGUGUUUCUAUAAGGGAAUGCUCCAUGAAUUCCAAUUGUUUCACAGAUUAAGAGAGUCACCAAGAUUCCCUAGUAACAUUUCUCAUCAAAGAGUGUUCUGUGGGGAAGAAAUUAAAAGCUAAACAGUCCAGGAAGCUGAGACAAGAAUCAGAAGAAAAAAGAAAGUGAGCAAUCAGGUAAUAUGUCACCAUUAAACCAAUUAAGGAGGAGGGGAUGCAGUAGGUGGUCCCAGACAAAACGUACUGGAGGUCAAGUGUAGACAACUAGUACAAGUUCUUGCACAGCUGAUGUAUCCCCAAGUGUGAAGUGAGUAAUGUGAAGGGAGACAUCCUCCUACCAUGCACCUGCCAGUCAACAAGGUAGGAACAUUGCAGGCUACAAAAAUAAUACGCAAUGCCAAAAGCAGGGGCAGAUCCAGGUUGUGUGAGGCCUGCGUGAAGCUUAAGCUGAUUGCAGCGGGGGGAUGGGGGGAUGUCUUUAAGCAAAAGAAUACAAAAUUAGGUACAAACUUGAAUAUUUAUUGUGAUAAGAAAAGGAAUAAUAAGAAAUGACUGGGCUGUUAGAGAUCCAGGUCUUUUUCUUAGGUGUUUUUGGACAGGUAACCAGAAAUCCUUACAUAGAUGCUCCCUGGUUAUAUCCAAGUGUUCCUUCUUCAUGUAGGACACUUGACAACUCUCAGCCCUUGUCAUAGUACAGGCAGGGACUAUGUAAGUGAGAGACCCUAACUUAAGCUCAAUUAGCCUCCAGGUAAAUCUACCUCUAGUCAAAGUGUUGACUUCUAUAGGAGUAAGGGUAAAGGGAUAUAUCCACUCAACAUGGACUAACCCAGACAGCCAGGCCCAGGUAUAGAGAAGGCAGUCAUAAAAUAAAGGGCUGCUGACAGGAUGCAGCCAAAAAUCAGUAAACUCAAAUUUACCCACCCCAAAGUUCAGGUGCUUUGAGGACUCAGGUGUCAACACACAAUUUCUGAAUUUUUAGAGUUGGUUAAGGCACACCCUAUUGAUCAGAGAAACAUAGCAGAAGAAGCCGAAUUCCUGGAAAAAAUACACUGGGUAGCAAGAUUUUGUAAAGGCUGAGCAUUUGGCAGCACCACUCACUUUCCCAGAAAAGAUGGGGCUAGAUUCCACAGAGAGGAGCUGAAUUAAAGGACGAUUUGGUGGACCUACGGUAGAGCAAUCCCAAACUUAAGCAGCUAUAUAUACAUUUUAAGUUUAAUUUUAAGAGAAUCUGAAGUAAUGGAGAUAACAAUACCCUCAUUUUACCGUAUCCGAAAUUCAAUUUGACUUUGGUCUUAGGGAUUUGGUCUCCACUAAUCUCACUACUUAUGACACAUAAGAACUAAGUCUGAGGAGUAUGAAUCAUUCUAUUUUGUAUGCGGGUUUUGUGGGAAUAAAGCAUCUAAUAAAUCUUU